UAACCAAGGAAAAACAAAUGACAUUCGCGUGCGUUAUAUUUUCUGUAUAAUUUAGUGGAAAACCAAAGCAAGCAAAUUAAGCUGCACGCCUUGAGUCGAACCAAAAUAAUAAAGAAGUAUUUGUUUAUGCGAAGCUUUUUAAUACCUGGAGACACUCCAUUCACUCACUCAAUACCUUACACGUCGCCGUUCCAAUGACAACUGAAUUGCGCACAAUGAGCAAUGAUGUUGGUGAAGCAAAGUGGCACAGGAUGAUUUUAAAUCUCUGACGAGAGUACUAACACAACAUUAAUGACGUCACCGCCGUCGCCGCAGCACAGCGUCCUGCAAAUAAUAAUGCGUAUCUACUACACCGCUGGCAACAACUCUUAUCCACCAACCUUCCUUUUCCAAUAAAUAUGUAGAAUCGACAACGCACCAGGACACAGGCCGUACACAUUAAAGCGAAGUUUACGUGUAUUUAAAGCAACCCCGAAGGAUUUUUGGGCACAAAAGUAAAAGCACCGUUGUGAUGGCGACAUAAUGACCUUCACCAAAAAAGCACUUUAAGUGCCAUAAUACACAAAAGGAUACCAAAAUGCCUACACAUGAUCCUGUCAGGAGUUAUGCUGACAACGCGGACGCACCUUUUUUCGAGGGAAUGACGUCACAAUGGAGGAG